CGUAGUCUCUGUCUCUGUCCCGAUCAUGGUCAUAGUCAUAGUCACGCUCCUU
rnacentral:sRNA from 1 species